CCUCCGUGACUUGUUGUGGACAUAUGUAAUGUACGUGGGCGUCGACGGCGCCUGCGGUCACGAUGAGCUUCUCGCCCGCGAUGACCUCUGUUGAGGAGCCAAUGAUCAUGUUGUCAGUGACAUUCAUGAUGUCGGGGUUGCCGGCUUUGCUUAUGCCAACAAUCUUUCCGUUUUUCACACCGAUGUCUGCCUGAAGGGUGUGCAGUAAACGAAGAUCGCUGUAGGAUAUAUAUUACCUUAUGUAUCCCAGUCCAGUCAAUGAUGACUGCAUUUGUGAUGACGAGGUCAAGGUGGCUUUCAAGGUGCCGACGACUGACUAUCUGCCCCAUACCAUCUCGGAUA
rfam:Rhizopogon vesiculosus strain AM-OR11-056 contig72772, whole genome shotgun sequence.